UACUCUUUAGCGCAGUCGGUAAGUGGCGGCACUCAUAAGAUUAAGAAAUGCCGAGGUCGGGAGUUCGAUCCUCCCAUGGAGCAA